rnacentral:rRNA from 1 species
GUGGGGAAUAUUGGACAAUGGGCGCAAGCCUGAUCCAGCAACGCCGCGUGAGGGAUGACGGCCUUCGGGUUGUAAACCUCUUUCAGCAGGGACGAAGCGAAAGUGACGGUACCUGCAGAAGAAGGACCGGCCAACUACGUGCCAGCAGCCGCGGUAAUACGUAGGGUCCGAGCGUUGUCCGGAAUUAUUGGGCGUAAAGGGCUCGUAGGCGGUCUGUCGCGUCGGGAGUGAACACUCAGGGCUCAACCCUGAGCGUGCUUCCGAUACGGGCAGACUAGAGGUAUGCAGGGGAGAACGGAAUUCCUGGUGUAGCGGUGGAAUGCGCAGAUAUCAGGAGGAACACCGGUGGCGAAGGCGGUUCUCUGGGCAUUACCUGACGCUGAGGAGCGAAAGCAUGGGGAGCGAACAGGAUUAGAAACCCCUGUAGUCC